rnacentral:lncRNA from 1 species
AAACCUAAAAUAAAGAUGAAAAACAGAAGAAACAUAAAAUGACACCAAGGCAUAUUAUAAUCAAAUUGCUUAAAACCAACGAUAAAGAGAAAAUCUGAAAAGCAGCCAGACAGAAAAAACACAUUAUACAGAGGAAAAGAUUCAUAAACUGAAGACCGAUAGCAAAAUGAUGUUCAGUUAAGCAAAUUCAACAUGUCUGAACCUUCAUAAAUUCGCCCCCAGUGAUGCUGUCCUGCAGUGUGAUCCUGGCCUCGGGAGACGUCUGUCCCCAGCAGAGCUAAUCACCUUUACUCUUUGGGUGAAAUUGAAACUGAUAAUAUUUUGAUGUCAACGCAUCUCAUUCAAGAGCUGAGCUGUGAAAUCCUACGAAGCCAUGGCAGGGUGUAGCUUUCUGAGGUUAUCCAAUCCUAUCUGGUGACCGAUCCAGGAAAAGAGGAAAUGAAGCUGGCCCUCCUGUGUGGCUUGGGGAGAACCUAGAUAGAGCCUCAGAUCCUGGGCAUCGAUAUUCCACAUGGAUCCUGUUUGUACCUCUUGUAUUCACACCGGGGAAACUGCAAAGGGAAGACUGCUAAGUAAUGGCAUUUUGGCUGUCCCUGCUUCUCCAGGCAAGCUUUUGGAAUAUUCUGAAUAAGAGCUGGAGAGUCAAAGAAAGAGAAAACAAAGCCCCUUUCUAUCUCCCAUACUUUUCCUUCCUGCAGGAAAAGGGACACAGUACCAUGCAGUUGAACACCAUGUCAAGUGAGGAUAAAGGAAAACAGCCAUGACAUCACUCCAUUACUGCCACCCCCAGUGUGCCUCACAGGCCCUGCAAUUUAUAAUCUUGUUUAAUCCUCCAAGCAACCGAGGAAUACAGAUAUCAUCGCCCCUGCUGUACAGAUAAGGAAGCAGAGGCUCAUUGGGGUCCAGGAGCAUGCCUGUGGACAAAUAGCUCCUAAAUGACAUUGAGUUUUAAACCCAAUCUCCAAAAAGCCUGUAUGUUUUGAGCGCCUAUGAUGUGUCAUCAGACAGUGAGGCAGGUACUUGGGAUACAAUCAGAUAAAUGGCAGAGAACCUAUCCAAGAAGCCCACAAGCUGGAAGCGAAUACAAGAAACGCCAUCACUCAUAGCCAUGACAAUUACUGAGUGCCUGUCACAUGCCUGGCAUUGUUCCCAUUCAUGACUUCAGUUCAGCCUCCCACCAGCCCACUGACCAAGGCACUAUUUUCCAUGAUGUCUUCACUUUCUGACUUUAAAACCCAGACUCUUCACCAUUAGAUCAUGUGCCUGAGAUCAAUGGCAAGAGAUGAAAGCCUGGCCAAAGCACUGUGUUAAUAAAGUAGGCUGAUUAUACAGUUUACUACAAGUAGAAGGAAUUGCCACAAACUGGUACUUCUGGAGCAGUGUUCAGGAAGAAGGCAGGAACUGCAGCUGAAUCUAGUAAUAAGACACGAUGAUGAUGAUGAUGAUGACAGCAAUGACAACAGCAACAACAAAAAUAGAGGCUGGGUGUGGUGGCUCAUGCUUGUAAUUCCAGCACUCUGGGAGGCAGAGGCAGGAGGAUCGCUUGAGCCCAGGAGUCUGAGACCAGUCUGGGCAACACGGCAAGACCCCAUCCCUACAAAAAAUUUUAAAAUUAGCUGGACAUGGUGGCAUGUAUCUGCAGUCCCAGCUACUCAGGGGGCUAGGGUAGCAGGAUCACUUGAGCCCAAGAAGUAGAGGCUACAGUGAGGUAUGAUCACACCACUGCACUCCAGCUUGGGCAACAGACGAAGACUCU